GCUGCCAAUCCGCUAUUACAAAAUACAGGCUAUCAGUGGUAGUAGAUCAUCUGGCAAAAUGUGAGAUGGAGAUUAAGAUCAGCGAGGAGAAAGAUUAGAUACCACAAUGCAGUGUAAUUAGAUGUGGCACCAAAAGUACAAUGGGUGGUACCUAUGGCAGGGUCGACAAUGGCGAACGCCCGCUUGACGUUGUCCACGCUGACGGCGCUGGCGGCGUGCUUGCCCCCCAGCUCGGCCACCACCUCGCGGAUGUACUUGUCCUGCGCGACCUGCCGCUGCCGGAACAAUUCGCGCGCGAACUCCACGCGGUCGAAUCCUUCCUCGUUCUAAUAGGCCAACAACGACAUUCUUAUUAACACUUUCACUGCCAACGCAGUCAAUGUUGACCGAUGCUACCUGGAGAUUUGCCUUCAACAGUUUUCAGUACCUCCGAACUUCCGAACUGUGUAUGUUAUCCUGCAUAUUAUGUGGCCUGUGCAUAAAUAUUUGUAAUUAAAUAAAUAAAUAGGAGGUAA